UUCCGGACUCGCUCCGCAUGUCGGGCUCCCUGCACUCUUGGUGCGGCCAACCGAACAUGGGGCUGUCUCUUCACUCUCCCUCCGGUCACGAAAUGUGCUGCGGUCGGGAUGCUCGCGAUCGGUUGCCUGUGCGGUUCUACCCUCUCGCGGGUAGCGAGUUAGUCCCUCGAUGGAUAUCUGCUUGCCCUUCCGACGUACUGUCGUUCGGGCGGCCGAAUUGUUGGCGAAAUCCCUGCGUCGGUGCGCGGUCGGAUGCCGCGCUGCUACCGCUUGGAUUUCUGCCGGCUCUCACGGAUGCGGUGCCUAUUGCUAGCUCUGCGGGUCUCUGCCCCGCAGACUUCGGGAGGUCCCUCGCGCGCAUCACUGCUCUCAUACGCCGUCUGUCGUGCUGCCGGUGGCGGCGCGCAGAUCGUGUUCCGYCGUGUCGUAGCUAACGACGCGGCGGAACAAAGUGUCCGGAGCGUGCUCGCGCGCGUGCGGAGUCCGCCUCYCGUUCGUUUGAGCAGCGAUUUCCGGUCCGCGUCGUGCGAAGGCGCGCCCGUUCGGGCUGGCGCCGGAGCCGACGCGCCGGCUCUCGUUUAAGACGUGC
rnacentral:misc_RNA from 1 species